AGUGGCAAAGUGAGGGAGGGAAGGGGUGACUAGUGACAGAGUGAGGGGAUGACUGGUGACAGAGUGAGGGGGGUGACUGUCACUAGUCACCCCAUCCCUCUCUCUGUCACUAGUCACUCCCUCCCUAACUCUGUCACUGUGUCACCCGCUCCCUCACUCUGUCACUAGUCACCCCCUCCCUCACUCUGUCACUAAUCACCCCCUCUCUCCCUAGUCACCCCCUUCCUCACUCUGUCACU